UUACUGGCAAGGUUAAGCACUUCAGGUGCGGAGCCGUAGGGAAACCAAGUCUUAAGAGGGCCAGAGUCAGUAGGAGUAGACCCGAAACCGGGUGAUCUAUCCAUGUCCAGGUUGAAGCUGCCGUAAGAGGUAGUGGAGGACCGAACCCACAUCCGUUGAAAAGGGUGGGGAUGAGGUGUGGAUAGGGGAGAAAUUCCAAUCGAACCCGGAGAUAGCUGGUUCUCCUCGAAAUAGCUUUAGGGCUAGCCUCAUGAGAGUCUUUUGGAGGUAGAGCACUGAAUUCCCGCGGGGGCGUCAAAGCUUACCAAAGGAUAUCAAACUCCGAAUGCCAGUAAGAUGAUUCAUGGGAGUCAGACUGCACGAGAUAAGUUGGGCAGUCAAAAGGGAAAGAGCCCAGACCUGCAGCUAAGGUCCCAAAAUGUGUGUUAAGUGGAAAAGGAUGUGGGAUUUCAAAGACAACCAGGAUGUUGGCUUAGAAGCAGCCAUACAUUAAAAGAGUGCGUAAUAGCUCACUGGUCGAGAGGUCCUGCGCCGAAAAUGUCCGGGGCUGAAACACACUACCGAAGCUCAGGAAUUAACGUAGUUAAUUGGUAGAGGAGCAUUCUUAAAGGGAAGAAGCAGUACCGGAAGGAGCUGUGGACUUUUAAGAAGAGAGAAUGCCGGAAUGAGUAGCGAGAGGAAGGUGAGAAUCCUUCCGGCCGAAUAUCCAAGGUUUCCAGAGUAAAGCUGAUCUGCUCUGGGUAAGUCGGGGCCUAAGGUGAGGUCGAAAGACGUAGCCGAUGGACAACAGGUUGAAAUUCCUGUACUGCAGUAUAACAGAACUGUGGGGACGCAGAGGGAGAGCACUAGCGGGAAUGGAAUCCCGUGGCAAGCGAGGUAGGAGUCGCGCUGGCAAAUCCGCGUGACAAUCCGAAGACGUGAUGCAUACCGAACUGAAGUAGGGAAAUGUGUGAGCCAGCUGCCAAGAAAAGCCGCUAUUGUUUGUACUGUACCCGUACCGUAAACCGACACAGGUAGGUGAGGAGAGAAUCCUAAGGCCGACGGGAGAAGCAUUGUUAAGGAACUCGGCAAAAUGACUCCGUAACUUCGGGAGAAGGAGUGCCAUGCGAAUGGCCGCAGAGAAUUGGCCCAAGCAACUGUUUAGCAAAAACACAGGUCUAUGCAAAACCGUAAGGUGAAGUAUAUGGGCUGACGCCUGCCCGGUGCUGGAAGGUUAAGGGGAGAGGUUAGCGCAAGCGAAGCUUUGAACUUAAGCCCCAGUAAACGGCGGCCGUAACAAUAACGGUCCUAAGGUAGCGAAAUUCCUUGUCGGGUAAGUUCCGACCCGCACGAAAGGCGUAAUGAUUUGGGCACUGUCUCAACAAUGCACCCGGUGAAAUUGAAAUACCAGUGAAGAUGCUGGUUACCUGCGCCAGGACGGAAAGACCCCAUGGAGCUUUACUCCAGCUUGAUACUGGGAUUCGAUAUUGCAUGUACAGGAUAGGUGGGAGACUAGGAGACGGUAACGCCAGUUGCCGUGGAGUCGAUGUUGGGAUACCACCCUUGCAGUAUUGGGUUUCUAACCAGCAGCCGUGAUCCGGCUGGGGGACAAUGUCAGGUGGGGAGUUUGACUGGGGCGGUCGCCUCCGAAAGGGUAUCGGAGGCGCUCAAAGGUUCCCUCAGAAUGGUUGGAAACCAUUCGAAGAGUGCAAAGGCAGAAGGGAGCUUGACUGCGACACCGACGGGUGGAGCAGGUACGAAAGUAGGACUUAGUGAUCCGGUGGUAUAA
rnacentral:rRNA from 1 species